GGCCAUCUCCUAGAAACCUUUCUGGAGGCAGAGGUGACCUCUGCCUGCUUUGAUGACGUGGUCCAUGUCCUGAAGGGCUGGCUCACCUCAGCCAAAGAAUGGGAGCGGGAGAGAGCCCUGCAGGUUUGCACCCACGUGCUGGGAGCUUGCAAGGAGCGAUUCAAGCUCAUGAGAGGACGUCCUUGCAAGCGGUUCGGCUCCCUGGUGGGAUUGCUGGCGACUCUGACCAGCGACUGCCUGGCCACGUCCCGCCAGAGGGCAUGGGUCUGCCUUGGCUACCUUCUCCAAAUGCAAGCCAGGACCAUGGAGGUGGUGCCUCAGGCAGAUGAGAUCAGGUGCCUUGGUGAGGAGCUGAACAGCCCAGACACCGUGCA